UUGCGGCGUGCUUAACACAUGCAAGUCGAACGGAAAGGCCCUGCUUUUGUGGGGUGCUCGAGUGGCGAACGGGUGAGUAACACGUGAGUAACCUGCCCUUGACUUUGGGAUAACUUCAGGAAACUGGGGCUAAUACCGGAUAGGAGCUCCUGCUGCAUGGUGGGGGUUGGAAAGUUUCGGCGGUUGGGGAUGGACUCGCGGCUUAUCAGCUUGUUGGUGGGGUAGUGGCUUACCAAGGCUUUGACGGGUAGCCGGCCUGAGAGGGUGACCGGCCACAUUGGGACUGAGAUACGGCCCAGACUCCUACGGGAGGCAGCAGUGGGGAAUAUUGCACAAUGGGCGGAAGCCUGAUGCAGCAACGCCGCGUGCGGGAUGACGGCCUUCGGGUUGUAAACCGCUUUCGCCUGUGACGAAGCGUGAGUGACGGUAAUGGGUAAAGAAGCACCGGCUAACUACGUGCCAGCAGCCGCGGUGAUACGUAGGGUGCGAGCGUUGUCCGGAUUUAUUGGGCGUAAAGGGCUCGUAGGUGGUUGAUCGCGUCGGAAGUGUAAUCUUGGGGCUUAACCCUGAGCGUGCUUUCGAUACGGGUUGACUUGAGGAAGGUAGGGGAGAAUGGAAUUCCUGGUGGAGCGGUGGAAUGCGCAGAUAUCAGGAGGAACACCAGUGGCGAAGGCGGUUCUCUGGGCCUUUCCUGACGCUGAGGAGCGAAAGCGUGGGGAGCGAACAGGCUUAGAUACCCUGGUAGUCCACGCUGUAAAACGGUGGGUACUAGGUGUGGGGUCCAUUCCACGGGUUCCGUGCCGUAGCUAACGCUUUAAGUACCCCGCCUGGGGAGUACGGCCGCAAGGCUAAAACUCAAAGGAAUUGACGGGGCCCCGCACAAGCGGCGGAGCAUGCGGAUUAAUUCGAUGCAACGCGUAGAACCUUACCUGGGUUUGACAUGGAUCGGGAGUGCUCAGAGAUGGGUGUGCCUCUUUUGGGGUCGGUUCACAGGUGGUGCAUGGCUGUCGUCAGCUCGUGUCGUGAGAUGUUGGGUUAAGUCCCGCAACGAGCGCAACCCUUGUUCACUGUUGCCAGCACGUUAUGGUGGGGACUCAGUGGAGACCGCCGGGGUCAACUCGGAGGAAGGUGGGGAUGACGUCAAGUCAUCAUGCCCCUUAUGUCCAGGGCUUCACGCAUGCUACAAUGGCUGGUACAGAGAGUGGCGAGCCUGUGAGGGUGAGCGAAUCUCGGAAAGCCGGUCUCAGUUCGGAUUGGGGUCUGCAACUCGACCUCAUGAAGUCGGAGUCGCUAGUAAUCGCAGAUCAGCAACGCUGCGGUGAAUACGUUCCCGGGGCUUGUACACACCGCCCGUCAAGUCAUGAAAGUUGGUAACACCCGAAGCCGGUGGCCUAACCGUUGUGGGGGAGCCGUCGAAGGUGGGACUGGUGAUUAGGAC
rnacentral:rRNA from 1 species